rnacentral:rRNA from 1 species
UACGAAGGGGACUAGCGUUGUUCGGAUUUACUGGGCGUAAAGCGCGCGUAGGCGGAUCGCUAAGUCAGGGGUGAAAUCCCAGGGCUCAACCCUGGAACUGCCUUUGAUACUGACGAUCUGGAGAUCGGGAGAGGUUGGUGGAAUUCCGAGUGUAGAGGUGAAAUUCGUAGAUAUCGAGAGGAACACCGGUGGCGAAGGCGGCCAACUGGACGAAUACUGACGCUGAGACACGAAAGCGUGGGGAGCAAACAGG